UGGAAUCCUCCUGCCACGGCGGGAGGUCAGGGAACACGGUGAAAAUCCGUCGACAGUACCCGCUGCUGUAAAUCCCCUGCCGGUUACCGGCAACCGGGCGCAAUAUGUCACUGAAGCCAGUGCUUCGGGAAGGCGCGCUCCGGAUGAGGGACAAGUCAGAAUACCUGCCGGAAGCG
rnacentral:ncRNA from 1 species